UUUUAUGGAGAGUUUGAUCCUGGCUCAGGAUGAACGCUGGCGGCGUGCCUAAUACAUGCAAGUCGAGCGAACGGACGAGAAGCUUGCUUCUCUGAUGUUAGCGGCGGACGGGUGAGUAACACGUGGAUAACCUACCUAUAAGACUGGGAUAACUUCGGGAAACCGGAGCUAAUACCGGAUAAUAUUUUGAACCGCAUGGUUCAAAAGUGAAAGACGGUCUUGCUGUCACUUAUAGAUGGAUCCGCGCUGCAUUAGCUAGUUGGUAAGGUAACGGCUUACCAAGGCAACGAUGCAUAGCCGACCUGAGAGGGUGAUCGGCCACACUGGAACUGAGAC
rnacentral:rRNA from 1 species